GCCUGGAUAGCUCAGGUGGUAGAGCAUCAGGCUCUUAAACUGAGGGUCCAGGAUUCAAGCCCCUGUCCAGGCA